CGGGGCGUAGCGCAGCCUGGUAGCGCACCUGCUUCGGGAGCAGGGAGUCGGAGGUUCAAAUCCUCUCGCCCCGACCA
rnacentral:tRNA from 9 species